UAAAGUACUUCCGCUUCCAUAGGCGGAGCUGGAAAGGUGGAGGCGGAAGUGACUGAUCAAUUCAGGGGCGUGAGAAUUCUAUGGGUUGAUUGGGCUCCUCCUCCAUUCAACUGGUGGCUGGGAUGAGCAGGAAUGGCAAAGAAGACAUCACUCAUAUGUCGGAGGUCUGCACUAUAACUAGAACUCAAGCAAGCAAGAUUGGAGUUUUGCUAAGACACCAUAGAAGAACAACUAAAUGAUGCUUUCCUAUUCUCUUCUCUGACCCCAUGAUAUGGCCACCCAGACUCCCUGAGGAGCUCUGGGAUGUAUGCCUCUCAGAUCAUCUUAGAAUCCUGGACUGGGACUCAGAGCCAGAAGACUGACGUGAUGAGAAGAUUGUUCCUGCUGGCCAGCAUGGUAUUUCCUUUGGAGGAUCAGGAGAGAUUUUGGAUGAUUCUUAUUCCCAUAUGACAUAAGAUGAGCUCAGGGCUCUGGCUUUGGAAAGAGUUGGGGUUCAACUCCAGUCCUUGGCCUUGUGAGGCAUGAAUGGGCCCAUGCGUCCACUCAGGCCCAACUAUUUUCUAAUUGUGGUGCCACCUGUGGUCCAUGGCACUAAAGGGCUGUGGUGAUGGCAGCAGGUAUCUUUAACCCUGUAAGCAUAGUCUCCAACUGACAACCAGGGCACCAUCCCACCCUCUCUGCAGGUUCUGUGCCAGGUAUCAGGCACUUCUCCUGGGAUGGCCUCACCUAUCUCUCUAACCCUCUUUUCUGAGAGCUUUUGAAACCAUUUUUCUGCAACACUAAGGGCCCAUUCUAAUCAAUGACUUCUCCUGCUUCUGACAGAUAUAGCAAUGCCUUUCUCUUCCUGGAUGAUCUUAAAUUGUGCAUUCUGAAUGGCCCUUCCUUCAAUGAAUGGGAUUUUUUUUUUUUUAAUCAUGCCAUUGGGCCCUUCAUGCAUUCUCCUUGCUGGUGGUGGUGGUAUGCAGAAAGCAGGGAUGGUCAACAUAAAAAGAGAUCACACUUCAGGAGUGCAGUGAAAAUGGCUUCAUAAGUUCAAGAGAAGACACAGUUGGAAGAAGCAUUUUCCUGUUUCUAGGGUGUAAAAAAUUCUAAACAGUAAAUUUAAUAAUCAGAAAAUGAAUUGUGAUUCACAUUUUCCUUAGUACUCUGGGUAAGGCCUGUAUUUGUGAUCAUCGUUAAUGAAACAGCAAAAACCUUUGAGAGAAUCAUUGGAAGCCAAUAUUCAUGGGUGGCACAAUGAAUGAUUACAUUAUUACAUGAGUAAUAAUGUAACCAGCAUUAAAUAAAUGGUGUUAGAGAACUGAAGAGGGAAGAAAAUUCAUCAUGUUUCAAUACAGAAGUUACCAAAGAGCCAUGUCAUUAUGAGUAAUAACAGCAUUGCUGCAUUUUUCUCUUAGUAGGAGAUAUGAAAUCAGCCAGGAAUGGAACAUUUAACAAUUAAGAACACAAAGAGAUUGUUCUUGGGCCUGAACAGGAAGAGUUUUUGGGCGCACACUAUGAAGUAUUUUUACAUGCAAUGAUUGGACCAUAAACAAAUACGUAAGUAUUUGUUCUCUAUCUACUAUUUUGAAAUUUUAUUCAGAUGACUGAGUAUACCUAAUGGGCCUGUGAAUUUCUAAAUACUUUUAAGGUCCAAUUGUUUAUAUUAUAAUGUAUAUAAAAGGUACUUUCCCAGGGUCCUGCAUGUCUCAGAGGUGCUCUAAUAUUAGCAGACAGUCCCAGAGGAAACAGAAGGUAUUAUGAGAUGUCUCCAUUAUAAAGGGACCUGAGUGUAUGGAAACACAAGUGCUUUCAGAGAAAAUCAGUGUGUAUUCCUAAUUGGUAGGCUGAGGGCAUAGUCUGAAAGAGAAGAAACUCCAAAACAUUAAUCAGGGAAGAAACGAAUAGACAACUUCUGUGCCAGUAAG